rnacentral:lncRNA from 1 species
UUCAUCAAUAUACUACGAGCAGAGUAGUAGUGACCUGCGGGUGUCAGAGGCGUUGGACGUUCAUGGCAAGGUAGUUUGAGCGACGGGGUUUGGCUGGUGUUUAGUCCUGCUCGGCCGCCGUAGGUACACCAGGUUUGGGGAAGAAGUCGGCCUUAACGCUGGUGUCAACUGAGGCUCUCUUACCUUUAAUUACAGUACUACCUGGCGACAUUGUUAAGAUGCCCAUGUGUUCCAAGCCCCAACCCAGGACAUCUGGUCCGACAAAAGACUUCUGAUUCGUGCAAGCCUUCUAGAAGAAUAAAAAGUGAAUCGCGCUUGAUUCACCAAUAUAGCAAAUACCAAAAUGUCUCGAAAAGGCGUAUCUUUGUGGACGCAGCGUCGAGUGGUGUUCAGCACACGCAGGGCACUGCAUAAAUGGGAAAGAAAUGAAUGGAGACUGUGUGUUUAAAUAUAUGAAAUCUAGGCUUUCCUAGCUCUUCCUGCAUGGCAGCCAAUCCCUGUACACUCAAGCUGAGUCUCUUCAUUAUUAUGCUUAUCCUGUAGCCUUCAUUCAUCUUCCCUUCCUCUCCUUAUCCACAGCAAAAAGUGCCCUUUCUUCUCACCAAGGUUAGCCCCUGCACCUGUGCACUGACUGGAUCGCUGCCUUGCCCGGAUUUAGUUUAGUCAGCCUGACACAUUAUCAGUUUCUUUUCGCAAACACACUCUCUUCCCCCAUCUAGGAACAGAACAAAACCAUGCUGCCUCUUCCACCCACCCAGGCUGCUCUGUCUCUUCUUCUGAGAAUCACGUUGCUUGAGAAACAUUAGCGUGUAUUUUCUGUCUCCACUUUCUCAUCUCUUACUCCCCGUUCCCCUAC